ACGGCUCAGUAACACGUGGCUAAUCUGCCCUUGGGACCGGAACACCCCCGGGAAACUGGGGCUAAUUCUCGAUAGGUGAAGAACUCUGGAAUGAGUCUUUGCUAAAAAGACGUUUACGUUAUGCUCGUAGACGUCGCCCAAGGAUGAGGCCGCGACCGAUCAGGUUGUUGGUAAGGUAAUGGCUCACCAAGCCUUUUACCGGUGCGGGCCGUGAGAGCGGGAGCCCGGAGAUGGGCACUGAGACAAGGGCCCAGGCCCUACGGGGCGCAGCAGUCGCGAAAACUUUGCAAUACACGAAAGUGUGACAGGGCUAUCCCGAGUGCCAUCCGCUGAGGAAGGCUUUUACCCAGUCUAGAACGCUGGGGGAAUAAGGAGAGGGCAAGUCUGGUGUCAGCCGCCGCGGUAAUACCAGCUCUCCGAGUGGUGUGGAUGUUUAUUGGGCCUAAAGCAUCCGUAGCUGGCUGAGUUAGUCCCUUGUUAAAUCCACCGAAUUAAUCGUUGGAUUGCGGGGGAUACUGCUCGGCUAGGGGACGAGAGAGGCAGACGGUAUUCCUGGGGUAGGGGUGAAAUCCUAUAAUCCCAGGAGGACCACCAGUGGCGAAGGCUGUCUGCUAGAACGCGCCCGACGGUGAGGGAUGAAAGCUGGGGGAGCGAACCGGAUUAGAUACCCGGGUAGUCCCAGCUGUAAACGAUGCAGACUAGGUGUUUGGACGGCCACGUGCCGUUCUAGUGCCGCAGGGAAGCUGUUAAGUCUGCCGCCUGGGGAGUACGAUCGCAAGAUUGAAACUUAAAGGAAUUGGCGGGGGAGCAC
rnacentral:rRNA from 1 species